CCUCUAAGCCCCGCCCUCCUUUCGUCACCGGGUGUCUCAUCAAGGCGUGUGCGGGAAGUAGCUUCCUCCCGACUGCGAAGAGGGCGAUGGAAGCGUCGGUGGGCACCGAGGUACGGGAGCGCGGAGCCGGUGCGCGGAACUCGCCCUCGGCGGCAGCGCAGGGCGGAGGCUACGGGCUCUCCCUCUCCGGGCAGUCUUACUGGCUGGACGUUUGGCUCAUGCUCCUCAUCGACUUGGUGCUCUUCAUCUUUGUCUACCUGCUGCCCUGAUGGCAGUGCCGGCCCUGACCGGGUAGGCUGAGUCUGCUGCAGAAAACCUUCAGCAACCCUCCCAUUCAUUACAGAACUGAUCAACACUGGAACUUUUAUGUAAAAACGGACCAAGAAAUGGUGCGUUCCACAACUGUAUCUGAACUGCUGGCUCAGGUGCAGUCCCUUGGAUGUGGUUUCAUGAAUGAACUUGGAGAACAUGGUUUCCCUGUUAGUCUUCAUGCUAAAAUAGUGAGAAUUGUGCCUUAAACGUUUUGCUGUUAUACAGAUUAAAUGUUUUCCGCCACUUUGAA